rnacentral:rRNA from 1 species
GACGAACCGUGCGAACGUUGUUCGGAAUCACUGGGCUUAAAGGGCGCGUAGGCGGUCAAUCAAGUCUGGGGUGAAAUCUUUCGGCUUAACCGGAAAAGUGCCUUGGAUACUGAUUGGCUCGAGGGAGGUAGGGGCAGCUGGAACUUCCGGUGGAGCGGUGAAAUGCGUUGAUAUCGGAAGGAACGCCGGUGGCGAAAGCGAGCUGCUGGACCUUUUCUGACGCUGAGGCGCGAAAGCUAGGGGAGCAAACGGG